rnacentral:tRNA from 1 species
GGGAUUGUAGCUCAGUGGUAGAGCGCUUGCCUAGCAUGUGUGAGGCACUAGGUUCAAUCCUCAGUUCCA